rnacentral:rRNA from 11 species
AAACAUGGCUACCACCUAAAUACUCAAAACGUACCAGAUCCUGUGUGAUCUUGGAAGCUAAGCAGGAUUGGCCCUGGUUUAUACUUGGAUAGGAGACCACCAGCAGAUACCAGGGGCUACAUUCA